CGGGGUGAGUAAUGCAUAGGAAUCUGCCCAUGUAGUGGGGGGACAACCUGGGGAAACUCAGGCUAAUACCGCAUGAGCCCUUCGGGGGAAAGCAGGGGAUCUUCGGACCUUGCGCUAUUGGAUGAGCCUAUGCCUGAUUAGCUUGUUGGUGGGGUAACGGCCUACCAAGGCGACGAUCUGUAGCUGGUAUGAGAGGACGAUCAGCCACACUGGGACUGAGACACGGCCCAG
rnacentral:rRNA from 1 species